CCAUAUAAAGACAAAAACAAAAAAAACGAAAAUACAAAAAAUAAGUCACAAAUAAAUAAAUAAAAAUUAAAUGUCCAAAGUCCAGAUUACAUGACCCAAGAUCCAUUUACAAACGAAAGCCCAAAUUAAUAUUACAACCCAAGACCCAAUAACUAAACCUAAACCUUACCCGAAAUACAAGCCCAAUAUGGCCCAAAACAUAUUAGAAACACAGAAAAAACCCUAAGGUCUUCUUUGCGCCGCAGCAGUCCCAGCCUCCACGCCUCCGUACGGCCUCCUAGCGCCAAGCCCAUGCCACGUACGCCAGCACACGGCCCCGUACUCGCCCCAACGCAUGCCCCGUAACUGUAAAAACAAACAAGACACAGCAGCAAAUAGAAAAAAAAAACAUUGUAUACUUUCGAUUUAUUUCUCUUUCUUUUCGGCUAUAAAAGCCAAGCUUUCAAUCAGUUGUAAGGUUACGAAUACACAAUAGGCAAUACAAAAAGGCAACCAAUAUCGGAAGGUGAUUUUUUCGAUCUAAAUUUUUGGGCUUUGUUUUUUAUUUAUUCUCUUGCUUUGUAUUUUAUUUUAUUUUAUUUUAUUUCGAAAACAAAUAAGGUGAAGGAGGAUAGGAGCCUUACCUUGCGGACAAGCCACCGAUUUCCAUUUUUGCUCCAUUACAAUCGGAGUCGGAAAAGGGUCUCGAGGUUGAAAACCACCUCCCUCGAAACUCGGAUACACUGGUCGUCAAUGGUGGUGGCAGAUCGGCAUUCGAGGAAAUGGGAAUCAGGGUUUGGCUGAGUAGAGAACGAGGAGGUGGGCUCGGUUUCUUGUUCUGGGUUCCUAAAUGGCUAAGUAUAAUAGCUUUAGGGUUAAUGAAUUAAAGAAAGGGUUUCUAGGGGCUGAUUUAAGAAACGGUGGCGUAUAAGGGCAAGAGGAUCCGCAUGUCAACCCAUUUCCAGACCCGGAUCCGUGCCCCUGCGCGUCAAACGGGAAAAUUGCGCAAUAAAACCCUCCCCUUUCGUGCUGCGUUUAAAUCAACCCAUAUUUGCGUUUCCUUUUUUUAAAAAAAAAUUUCCUUGUAAUUUGUGCUUAUUUUCAAUUGGAUUCGUGCCUUAGUGUAGCGUUUCGGGAUCGGGGACAUUUACACUUUUAGUCCCUGUGAAUUCGCACGCGUGGGUCCCUAUUUUUAG
rnacentral:lncRNA from 1 species